GAGGCAGCAACAUCAGCUGACUGAGCUCCUGCUCAAGGACCUGGAGGUCGGUCAGUCGUGGCUCUGAAUCCCACAUCUGUCCACGUUUCUUCACAGAAGUGCCAAAAGAAACACAAUAAGCCUGAUGUUACACACCAUCUGAGGUUCUCAGACUGCCAUCCUCAUGCCAUGUCCUCUCUGGAAGAACACAGCUGAACCCACCGGAUUCUACGACUCUGGUCGAUCCAUCUCAGGCAACCCUGUUCCUGCUGCCCCUGCUCUGGAAUUCAUGGCCUCAUCAUCCUCACUUCUGCAUUCAAUGACUUACAAUGGAAAGAAUUUCAUGGGCUUUUAUUUUGACUUAGUAUUACUUCCCCCUCUUGCCUGUUUACAUAGCUGCCUUUUCUUCACUAACACAACAGCUCCCCAUGGAGGGUCACUGUCAGAGUUCACAGCUCACACCACAACCACACUAAAAAAGCUCAACCCUAGCAGAGGUUACAGCCUCCCAAUUAAGUGGAACAUCCUUUUCCUUUCUAGGAUUCCCCUUCAGAGUUCUCCGGUAGGUCACUUCUCCUCAUUUGGCAAUGACUGACUAUGCAGCCACCCUUUUAUUCGUUAUUAUUUUAGUAGUGCCUUCAGGCCUUCACUGGGUCAGAGCUCCAUUGUGCUAGGCACUAUCCACCCAGAAGGAGACAGCCCUGCACAAAUGACUUGGCAAUAGACAAGGCAGAUGGGAAAAGUUCAGCACAGAGCAGGGAAGAGACUUACCUCUGGUUGCAAUUCAGGUUCUGCUGCUUCCCUAAGACAUAGGCCAGUAACUUUUGAGUUUGACGUACAGCCUGUGCAAUACAUAGGCUAUCAACACACAAUUCUGCUUUAAGCUAUCUUUGUAACUCCUGGGUGACCUAUUCAGCUCUGGUAUUGAUGAGUGUGAGAGCCUAUGUUUGCAGGACAGGAGAGAGGGGGUGUAGAUUGGGAUGAAACCCUGGCAUCCAAAGCGGAUAUAACUAGAAAUAAAACCACCUCAAAACCAUUUCUCCUGAUUUCUCCCUCUUCACCAGCAUGUUUAUGUAAUCAGGAUCUGGCUCAUAACCAACCCCGUUUUCCAGACUAAGAAUGCCAAAAGAAGUGUUACAAACCCCAUAUAGCGGUGUUUUUUUACAUCCUUCGGUGGCAACACUUCAAGACAGUAGAUUAGUCCUGCUCUCUAGAUCAUCAGUACAGCAUUGCCUAGAAAGCUAUAUUAAGUCCUGGACACCUCUAACUGAAAGGCACCAAUACACUGAAAGCACCUUACAGAAAGCAAAAAAAGGUGUUGGGUUGGGAGGAAAGAUUCAAAGUGGAGCUUGCCCAGUUCACAGCACUUUGUAGUCCAAAUGGCAACACACUAACAUGCAGGGCUGUUUGAAGCAAGUGUUCUGAUUCAGUCCAUCUGCAAAAGCCACAGUUAGUAGUUCACUUAUGAUCUAAAUGUGUCCAUGUCAGGAGAGCUCACGUGGUUUUCACGCACCUUCCAAAAUAUUGGAAAAAGCUAAUUAAACUAUAAACAUAUAACACUCCAAUUUGGAAUAUUCCUCUUUGCAUUUUUUCUUUACCAGAUUUUGCUGAUAAAGUUUUUUAUUUUUAC